rnacentral:rRNA from 1 species
CGGAGGGAGCUAGCGUUGUUCGGAAAUACUGGGCGUAAAGCGCACGUAGGCGGCGUCGCAAGUCAGGGGGUGAAAUCCCGGGGCUCAACCCCGGAACUGCCCUUGAAACUGCAAUGCUAGAAUAUUGGAGAGGCAAGUGGAAUUCCGAGUGUAGAGGUGAAAUUCGUAGAUAUUCGGAAGAACACCAGUGGCGAAGGCGACUUGCUGGACAAUUAUUGACGCUGAGGUGCGAAAGCGUGGGGGAGCAAACAGGAUU